rnacentral:lncRNA from 1 species
CUGGGAAUGUAGCUCAGUGGUUACAGUGCUGCUGGGUUCAAUCCGUGGUACCAAAAAACAAACAAACAGUAGUCCUGGAAUAAAUUAAAAAAUUUUUUGGUGUCUUCUUUGUGGUGAGAAUUGGGGUUAGCUCUAAUUUGAAAUUUGUUUUCAUUUACCAAGCUAUGUAUUUGCAGCUCAUAAUACCUACCAUUUUUCAAGUGCCAGUUCUGUGCUUUACAACCAUGAUUUCUGGCCCUUGUAACAACUUUGGAGAAAGGUAUUCUCCUUAUUCUACUCCUGAGGAAAUAGAAUUGAGAUGUCUAUAAUCCUGUCGAGAAGCACCCUGCCAGUCUGGGAUCUUUUUUUGUUGUAUCACCCUCUUCUCUAAGAGUUGUUAGGAGCAACUUGUUUUCUUGCACAGGUUUGAAAUAAACCAUUUGGAGAACAGUGUUCUAUGACCUCUGAACAUAACAGAUAAUAUGACCCAUCCACGAUUUAUUACUUUUCUGCUCUACGGAGCUGAUACUGGAGUCAGUUGAAGAUGUCUUUUUUCUUUGCUGAGCUUAAAACAAACAAACAAACAAAAAAACUUUCAGUCACAUUUGGGGGCAUUAAUAGGCUUAAAACAAUUACUGUUUUCUCUUUUAUUGCCUCCUUGAUUUUAGUUGGAAACAUGCAGGCAGUGUAUGUAGUAGAGGCAUCAAAGCAAAGAGAAGAUUGAUGGAACAGACAAGGUGCACACAGCACUGUUACUAGAAGGUGGGUUUUGUUUGCAGCUUUGUUGAUGGAGAGGUUCAGCAGGUUGCUAAAAGGCUAUGGACAUUCUGUUACUACCAAAUUACAGCCUAAAGAUCUGUGGAACUCUUAGAGCAAGGCUUAAUAUUUCCUUUCUCCCCUUUGUUUUUUUUUAGGAAGUGGCUCUGUUUGCAGGAAAGAUUAGAUGUGUCUUUCUAGGCAACAUCCAAGGUCUUUUGGAUGCUUUUGUGCCUUCACCAUAGCUCCUUCUCAGAUUAAUGCACUGCCCAUGCAUUUAACUCUUAUUCCAUAGCAGCAUUUGCAACUUUCUGUGCAGUCUGGGUACAAGUUAAAAGCUUAGGAAGUCCAUAUAACUUGUCAUAAUUUUAGUACUCUAACUUAUUAAGGGAUAUAUUUUGAUUAUCUGAUUUACAAAAGUACCAUAUAAAAAUCCAUCUAUGCUAUAUGAUUGCUGGAACACUGAGCUCUGGUUUUUAUGACCGAGUUAUGGGAUGAGUAAUUACUCUCUAGAGUGAAUGGUUCAAAAUGAAAUAACUGUAUGCCUAAGGUGUGAUGUGACACCAGAUGUGUUUAGGCCCCAAAGGUAUGUAAUUAUCUCACUGCUCUUGCACAUACACACAAGUGCAUUUAUGCUUAUGGCAAGAG